AUGAAGCAAAGAGAGAAAACUACCAUAGUUCAUGAUUUAUGGGAGGUGACUUUGGAGAAUAAAAAUUUCAAGACCUCUGAUUUCUACAAAGAGCUCAUUGAUGAUGGUAGUAGAGUUAAUUGGAGAAAGCUUCUGAAACACAAUCUGGCGAGACCUUACGCUUUACAUUGCUUUUGGAUGGCAUGCCAUAACAGUCUACCCACGAAGGAAAAAUGA